AAAAAAUUAAAAUCUUCUCUUUUUUUUGGAAAAUCCUUUUCCUUUUUAUUUGGAAAAUCAUUUUCCUUUUUAUUUUGGAAAAUCAUUUUCCUUUUUAUUUUGGAAAAUCAUUUUCCUUUUUAUUUUGGAAAAUCAUUUUCCUUUUUAUUUUGGAAAAUCAUUUUCCUUUUUAUUUUGGAAAAUAAUUUUCCUUUUUAUUUGGAAAAUCAUUUUCCUUUUUAUUUGGAAAAUCAUUUUCCUUUUUAUUUGGAAAAUCCUUUUCCUUUUUAUUUUGGAAAAUUAUUUUCCUUUUUAUUUGGAAAAUCAUUUUCCUUUUUAUUUUGGAAAAUCAUUUUCCUUUUUAUUUGGAAAAUCCUUUUCCUUUUAUUUUGGAAAAUAAUUUUCCUUUUUAUUUUGGAAAAUCAUUUUCCUUUUUAUUUUGGAAAAUCCUUUUCCUUUUUAUUUUGGAAAAUCAUUUUCCUUUUUAUUUUGGAAAAUCAUUUUCCUUCUUUUAGAAUCUCCUUUUCCUUUUCUCAGAACCUCCUUUUUUUUCCUCUUUUUUUGGAAUUUCCUUUUUUCAAAAAGCUCCUUUUUAAUUUUAUUUUUUUUUUUCUGGAAUUGGAAUUCUUUUGGAAUUUGGAAGCUCCUUUUCCUCUUUCCAGAAAAAUCCUUUUCCCUUUUUUUGGGAGCUCUUUCCCCUUUUUUUGGGAGCUUUUUUCCCUUUUUUUUGGAGCUCUUUUCCCUUUUUUUGGGAGCUCUUUUCCCUUUUUUUGGGAGCUUUUUUCCCUUUUUUUGGAAGCUCUUUUCCCUUUUUUUGGGAGCUCUUUUCUCUUUUUUUGGAAGCUCUUUUCUCUUUUUUUGGGAGCUCUUUCCCCUUUUUUUGGAAGCUCUUUUCCCUUUUUUUGGAAGCUCUUUUCCCUUUUUUUGGGAGCUUUUUUCCCUUUUUUUGGGAUCUCUUUCCCCUUUUUUUGGGAUCUCUUUCCCCUUUUUUUGGGAGCUUUUUUCCCUUUUUUUUGGGAGCUCUUUUCCCUUUUUUUGGAAGCUCUUUUCCCCUUUUUUUGGAAGCUCUUUUCCCUUUUUUUGGGAUCUCUUUCCCCUUUUUUUGGAAACUCCCUUUUUUGGGGAAUCUCCUUUUCAGUAUUUUCACAGAGGAAAACUGGAAAAAAAAAAAACAAAAAAAAACAAAAACAAAACCACAAAAAAAAGAGAGAACUUGUUUACAUUUCCCCCUUUUCCUGGCAGGAAUUCCCUCCAUCCCCCUCUCCCAAAAAUCCCCCAGCCCUUCCCAGGUUUUCAGCUGCUUUUCCGGGAUUCCCGGAUUUCCAGGGUGGGAAUUCUCCCCAUCCCUCCCUUCCCCUCCUCUGCUGGGAUGGGAGAAUUCCUCUCCCUCUCCCUUUUUUCCCUCCUUUCCCUCUGCACCCCUCAUUAUUUGGGAUUUUGGGUUGGGAUUUUUUUUUUUGGGGUGGUUUUCCUGGAUUUUGGGUCGGGAUUUUUUUUUUUGGGGCGGUUUUCCUGGAUUUUGGGUUGGGAUUUUUUAAGUUUUUCCCAGAUUAUUUUUUUUAUUUUGAUUUUUGGAUCCCUCCACCUCCGCUCAGAGACAAUCAGAGAUCUCCCAAAGGGCUCCUCCAUCCCUUUCAUCCCUCCUCACACCCUUCCAAAACAAAAAAAAACCCCAAUAAUUAA
ensembl:lncRNA